GUGCUCACUUCGGCAGUACGUGUACUAAAGUUGGACCCAUGGAGAAGAUUAGCAUGGCCCCUGUGCAAGGGUGACACCCAAAUUCAUGAAGUGUUCCACAUUUUU
ensembl:snRNA U6 U6 spliceosomal RNA